rnacentral:rRNA from 1 species
UACGAAGGGUGCAAACGUUGCUCGGAAUCAUUGGGCGUAAAGCGCACGUAGGCGGCUUUGCAAGUCUGACGUGAAAUCCCUCAGCUCAACUGAGGAAGUGCAUCGGAAACUGCAAGGCUUGAGUACUGAAGAGGAUCGCGGAAUUCCCGGUGUAGAGGUGAAAUGCGUAGAGACCGGGAGGAAGGCCGGUGGCGAAGGCGGCGCUCUGGAACAUUUCUGACGCUGAGGCUCGAAAGCGUGGGGAGCAAACAGG